CUAAAAUGAGAGUUUGAUCCUGGCUCAGGACGAACGCUGGCGGCGUGCCUAAUACAUGCAAG
rnacentral:rRNA from 1 species